rnacentral:rRNA from 1 species
GAUGAACGCUGGCGGCGUGCCUAAUACAUGCAAGUCGAGCGAACGGACGAGAAGCUUGCUUCUCUGAUGUUAGCGGCGGACGGGUGAGUAACACGUGGAUAACCUACCUAUAAGACUGGGAUAACUUCGGGAAACCGGAGCUAAUACCGGAUAAUAUUUUGAACCGCAUGGUUCAAAAGUGAAAGACGGUCUUGCUGUCACUUAUAGAUGGAUCCGCGCUGCAUUAGCUAGUUGGUAAGGUAACGGCUUACCAAGGCAACGAUGCAUAGCCGACCUGAGAGGGUGAUCGGCCACAGUGGAACUGAGACACGGUCCAGACUCCUACGGGAGGCAGCGGUAGGGAAGCUUCCGCGAUGGGCGAAAGCCUGACGGAGCAACGCCGCGUGAGUGAUGAGGGUCUUCGGAUCGGAAAACUCUGUUAUUAGGGAAGAACAUAUGUGUAAGUAACUGUGCACAUCUUGACGGUACCUAAUCAGAAAGCCACGGCUAACUACGUG